rfam:Dipodomys ordii contig_26228, whole genome shotgun sequence.
GGUGGCUCAGUGGUAGAGUGCUUGCCUUUCAUGCAUGAGACCCUGGGUUCAAUUCCUCAGCACCA